AUGUCACUGAUUUCUUUUCUUUUCUUUCUUUUUUCUUUUUUUGAGACGGAGUCUCACGCUGUCUCCCAGACUGGAGUGCAGUGGCGCCAUCUCAGCUUGCUGCAACCUUCGCCUACUAAGUUCAAGCAACUCUCCUGCCUCAGCCUUCCGAGUAGCUGGGACUGCAGGAAAGUACAAGACUUUCAAGACUCCGGGCAGUGGCAGGAGCCACAGCUUUCGGUCUGCCACGUGAUCACAACGGUAAGCGUCCAGUCUUCUCCCCGUCCUGUGAUGCCAGAUGGUUUUGCCCAGCUGUGGGCUCAUGUAAAUGUUCUGAGCACUUAUAAGAUAGUGGGCUAGGCUAAGCCAUAAUGUCCAGUACAUUAGGUAUUAAAUGCAUUUUUGACUUAUGGGUCUUCCUCUCUCUCUCUUUCUCCCUUUCUCUCUUCUCUUUUCGACGGUCUCAAUCUGUUGCCCCAGCUGGAGUGCAGUGGUGUGAUACGGGCACCCUGCAACCUCCAUCUCCCGGGUUCAAGCAUUCCUUCUGCCUCGGACUCCCGAGUAGCUGGGAUUACAGGUGCCUACCAACACUCCUGGCUAAUUUUUCUAUUUUUAGUAGAGACAGGGUUUCACCAUGUUGGCCAGGGUGGUCUCAAACUCCUGAUCUCAGGUGAUCUGCCUGCCUUGACCUCCCAAAAUGCUGAGAUUACAGGCAUGAGCCACCACACCUAGUCCGAUUUAUGAUAUUUUCAAUUUAGAGUGGGUUUAUCAGGGUGUAACCCCAUGGUGAGUCAAGAAACAUCUGUAUUUCUUUCCACUGGUAUAUUCAUCUCUAUCAAGUAUGAUACAGUCAAAGACUGUGAUCAAUGAUAUAAGUUCAUUUUCUCGAUCAGAUAUAUAAUUUGAGAUCCUUGAAACAUCUCUAGCCAACGCUGAGUUCUUCAGAACACCGUGAAAACUAUAGCUGAAGGACAUGGAAACAUGAGAGGCAUAAACAGAUCUGCAUUUCAGAAAGAAAGAAAAUACCAUGAGUCAAAAGUGCAUUUAACACCUGAUCUAUUGAAUAUUAUGGCUUAGCCUAGCCUACAAUCUCAUAAGUGCUCAGAACAUUUACAUUAACCUACAGUUGGGCUCAUAAAAUGGAGGAUGAGUUAGUUAAAGAGGGGAAAGAUCAGAACCAAAGAGAUUUACAAGAAGGUUAUUAUGGAAGAGGAUGGAAAACUGAACUUGGAUGUAUGUCCUGCACGUGUACCCCUGAAGUUAAAAAAAAGUUGAAAAAAAAAACUGAUAUAUGUCUCAGGAAAAAAAUGCAACAUUUGAGAAAUAAAAUUGAUUUUAAAAAUUAGACAAUUGUUAUCAAGAUUGAUGAAUAAGUGGAGAUCAUUGAUGGCUUUUUGCUUUGGAAACCCGAGCAAUUAUGGUGACACCGUUGAGACAGACAAGCCUGCUGAAGUCAGAGACGCGCGUUCGAGUUGGUUUACAGCAAAAUGGAUGAAGAGUUUGAUUUUACACAUAGUGAAACUGAGACACUAAAAACAGCUAAGUUCAGAUCUAGAAUUCAAAAGAAAGAUUGGGGCUGUGUUGAAUUUGAUAAACAAAUGGAUAAAGCUACAGAAGUGGGACCAGGAAAGAAGAAGUGGACACUGAGAAGAGCCCAAUGGCAAACAAACCCUGCGGAUCAUGAACUGUACAGAGCAUGGAGAAAAAGGGCCACCAGGCCAGGCGCAGUGGCUCACCCCUGUAAUCCCAACACUUUGGGAGGCUGAGGAGGGCAGAUUAUGAGGUCAGGAGUUCGAGACCAGCCUGACCAAUAUGGUAAAACCCCGUCUCUACUAAAAAUACAAAAAUUAGCCGAGCGUGGUGGCGCAUGCCUGUAAUCCCAACGACUCAGGAAGCGGAGGCAGGGAUCACUUGAACCCAGGAGGCAGAAAUUGCAGUGAGCCAAGAUUGCACCACUGCACUCCAGCCUGGCCACAGAAUAAGACUCUGUCUCAAAAAAAAAAGCCACCAAAAGAGUCAGGAAAGCUAAUUGAAGCAGGAGACAGUUAAGUGCAUAGAACUAUGCAAAAGAGAGACUUGUAACUAGAAGGAGUUAGCCAGUGCCAGGCCACAGAGAAAUGCAAUUUUAUCUUCUUCCAGUUGUUCACCUCUUGUUAAUCCCUAUGCACCUCUACCUUCUGUCAGCCUUUAUCCAAUAAUAAAAAUAGUCAUGCCUCAGUAAACAGCUUUACUCCUACUUCACAAAUAGGUCUGAUGCCGCCACGCAUAACCUAGUUCAUAUUCAUCUUCUUUACCUUCACAAACCUUCUCCUGCACCAACCCUUCGCUUUCCUUUCUUCUUCUGUUCCUGAGGCACCUCUGCGUCCUUUCGCUUCUUCUCUGCUCCUGACUUUGUUCUCAUGGUAGCUCCUCUCCCACAUUCUUUAAUAAAUAGAAUCUCCUGAAGGCUUCUUGCUUUUUUUCUUAAAACACAUACACUUCUCCCAACUUACAGUGGCUGCCCUGAGCCUGCUGCUCCCAAUAACUGCCCUCCUUUCUUCUUUCUGAGAAAACUCCUUAAAAGACAUUGUUUAUACCCACUAAGUCUCAUCUGUCUCUUUCUGUUCUCUUCUGAAUCCCUGCAAUCUGGCUAUACCUGUAUUCCAGUAUUAAAUUCCUUAAAAGCUAUCAAUGACUACCUUCUAGCCCAGUGGUUCGCCAACCUUUGUGGCACCAGG
rnacentral:lncRNA from 1 species